GUGAGGAAUAUUGCACAAUGGGCGAAAGCCUGAUGCAGCAACGCCGCGUGAGGGACGAAGGCCUUCGGGUUGUAAACCUCUUUUCUGGGGGAAGAGAUCAGGACGGUACCUCAGGAAUAAGUCUCGGCUAACUACGUGCCAGCAGCCGCGGUAAAACGUAGGAGGCGAGCGUUAUCCGGAUUUACUGGGCGUAAAGCGCACGCAGGCGGCUUCGUUAGUCGGACGUGAAAGCUCCUGGCUUAACUGGGAGAGGCCGUUCGAUACUGCGAGGCUUGAGGUUGGGAGAGGGGUGUGGAAUUCCCGGUGUAGUGGUGGAAUGCGUAGAUAUCGGGAGGAACACCUGUGGCGAAAGCGGCACCCUGGCCCACACCUGACGCUGAGGUGCGAAAGCGUGGGUAGCAAACAGGAUUAGAUACCCCAGUAGUCC
rnacentral:rRNA from 1 species